rnacentral:lncRNA from 1 species
GCUCACUCAUAGACAAGAGUUGUCAUUAUUAUGCAAAAAAAAAAGAAUUAUCAUUGAGCUCCCUCACUAAAACAAAACCAAAGUAAAAGGUCGAUUCCAUUACAACCUAGUCUCCAUGUAAACACCAUAAUCUUAAAAGAAGAUCCUAGAACCUAAAAAAAAAAGAAAGAUUAAAACAUAAAACAACAUAAACAUACUCUCCCCC